GACGAACGCUGGCGGCGUGCCUAAUACAUGCGAGUUGAGCGCUGAAGGUUGGUACUUGUACCAACUGGAUGAGCAGCGAACGGGUGAGUAACGCGUGGGGAAUCUGCCUUUGAGCGGGGGACAACAUUUGGAAACGAAUGCUAAUACCGCAUAAAAACUUUAAACACAAGUUUUAAGUUUGAAAGAUGCAAUUGCAUCACUCAAAGAUGAUCCCGCGUUGUAUUAGCUAGUUGGUGAGGUAAAGGCUCACCAAGGCGAUGAUACAUAGCCGACCUGAGAGGGUGAUCGGCCACAUUGGGACUGAGACACGGCCCAAACUCCUACGGGAGGCAGCAGUAGGGAAUCUUCGGCAAUGGACGAAAGUCUGACCGAGCAACGCCGCGUGAGUGAAGAAGGUUGUCGGAUCGUAAAACUCUGUUGGUAGAGAAGAACGUUGGUGAGAGUGGAAAGCUCAUCAAGUGACGGUAACUACCCAGAAAGGGACGGCUAACUACGUG
rnacentral:rRNA from 1 species